GACGAACGCUGGCGGCGUGCUUAACACAUGCAAGUCGAACGAUGAAGCCUUAGCUUGCUUUUGUGGAUUAGUGGCGAACGGGUGAGUAACACGUGAGCAACGUGCCCAGGACUCUGGAAUAACCGCGGGAAACCGUGGCUAAUAUCGGAUAGGUGCCGAGGCCCCAUUGUCUUCGGUUGGAAAGUUUUUGUGGUUCUGGAUUGGCUCACGGCCUAUCAGCUUGUUGGUGGGGUAAUGGCCCACCAAGGCGACGACGGGUAGCCGGCAUGCGGGGGGGACCGGACACACGGCGACUGAGAGAGGGACCAGACUCGUACGUGAGGCAGCGGGGGAGAAUAUUGCACAACGAGCGCGAGCGUGAUACAGCAACGCCGCGUGGGGGAUGACGUCUUUCUGGUUGAAAACCUCUGUUAGUAGGGAAGAAGCGCAAGUGACGGUACCUGCAGAAAAAGCACCGGCUAACUACGUG
rnacentral:rRNA from 1 species